rnacentral:rRNA from 1 species
CCUACGGGCGGCAGCAGUGAGGAAUAUUGGUCAAUGGGCGCGAGCCUGAACCAGCCAAGUCGCGUGAGGGAUGACGGUCCUACGGAUUGUAAACCUCUUUUGCCGGGGAGCAAGCGUGCGUUCGUGAACGCGCGUCGAGAGUACCCGGAGACAAAGCCUCGGCUAACUCCGUGCCAGCAGCCGCGGUAAUACGGAGGAUGCGAGCGUUAUCCGGAUUUAUUGGGUUUAAAGGGUGCGUAGGCGGGAUGCCAAGUCAGCGGUAAAAAUUCAGGGCUCAACCCUGUCGAGCCGUCGGAACUGGCAGUCUUGAGUGGGCGAGAAGGAUGCGGAAUGCGUGGUGUAGCGGUGAAAUGCAUAGAUAUCACGCAGAACGCCGAUUGCGAAGGCAGCAUACCGGCGCCCAACUGACGCUGAGGCACGAAAGCGUGGGGAUCGAACAGGAUUAGAUACCCCAGUAGUC